AAUUUAUUGUUUAGUUUGCACAUCCGAUGAUCAGUGGUAGACCAAACUGAAAUUUUUGUUUAAGGGUACUUUGUUAUGGCAUGAAAGUGCGGUGAUUUAGCUUUUGGAUAUGGUAUUAUAAGCAUGAGAGUAGCCUUGGCCUGCGAUCUGUUCAGAUUUGGCCUUUGUG
rnacentral:rRNA from 1 species